UGCCACCCUCCAGAAGGCGUAACCCGCUGUGAGGCUGCAGAGGUAGAAGAGACUGACUUCCUCCCUAGAGUGUACGUUCUAGCAGUGGGAAGCAAACACGCAAACACAGAAAGACAGCUUGGUGUGGUGUGUACAACAAUGGGAAGGCCUGCCAGCACAGUGUGCAUGUAAAGGGAAAAACCAGUUCAGUUAUUAAGGGAAGCUCUCAACACAGAGCAGAGCAAGAGAAGGCAGGGCUUCCGAGAGAAUAGCUGUGUACCAUCAAAGCGAAUUGGGUUGCACACAGACAUGGUAUAUCAUACACGAGACAAAGAUUUCAAGACCAGUUCUGUCAAAUGGCUGAGACCCAACCUUGCCUGGUGAUGGUGGGGAUGUUGACAUGCUGUGCCUCCUGGCUUCAUUCUAAGUAAAUAAAUCAAUAAUAACUCUUUUGAGCCUUUCACCUUUCUU
rnacentral:lncRNA from 1 species